GCGGUAAUACGAAGGGGGCUAGCGUUGCUCGGAAUCACUGGGCGUAAAGGGCGCGUAGGCGGCCGAUUAAGUCGGGGGUGAAAGCCUGUGGCUCAACCACAGAAUUGCCUUCGAUACUGGUUGGCUUGAGACCGGAAGAGGACAGCGGAACUGCGAGUGUAGAGGUGAAAUUCGUAGAUAUUCGCAAGAACACCAGUGGCGAAGGCGGCUGUCUGGUCCGGUUCUGACGCUGAGGCGCGAAAGCGUGGGGAGCAAACAGGAUU
rnacentral:rRNA from 1 species